rnacentral:lncRNA from 1 species
GCUCUUCGUGUACUGCCGGAAGGAGUUCAUGUGCGUUAUGACAUCGUAAUUCAAGAACCUGGCAUCCUCGUAGAAUGCUAAUGCCUCUACUUUGUCGUAGUAGAUGUUGAGUUUUUUGUUGGGGUUGCGUGCGGUGAAGUUGAGGACCAUGUUGUAGUGGAGGGUGUUGUUGUUGGUGUUGUACUCGAAUUGGGUUAGGUCGGCUUCCGUGACAUGGAACUUGAAGGAGCGGGGUUGAACUACCAGCCAGAAUAUGAGGAUUGCGAGGCCAACGAUGACGAUGAGUGCAACCAGAAUCUUCCACAAGAUUCCGAAGAGGCAGCAACAGCAGCUUCUGUGGCGUUGAGGGCGGUGGUGUGGUUGCACCGCCGGGGGAAUGGCGGGACCGUAAUAUGCACCGUUCAAGUGGGGUUGCUUAUCGGCCAUGAUUGGUGAAUGCAGAUUGAUAGAUGAAUGAAGAGAAGUAUGUAACAGGGGCUUGGUAUGGGGAAAGUGGUGAAUAUUGUGAGAUAGAGAGAAGGGAGUGGCGUGUUAUAUAGAAAAGCAAGGCAUUGAAGAUUCUACAGAAAGAACGCGGUGGUAAGUACAUGUCCGUGUUGGGCAUUUCUGCAUUUGGCUUUUCAAUUUCUUUUAAAGAAAGAAAUCGAAAAAUAGCGGAUUGUAUUGACCGGUAGUUUGAUUAAGAUUGACCGUGGCAACCACCAAGAACAUUCGCACGGAACAAACACAUUUUUAAGUUGUCUUGUUAGUUAAUGGUUGUGAGGAUUAUUAUACUUAUCCAAACAACCACGCUUGAUAUUGUCAUUAUGCGUGACCAAUUUGUACCACUUAAUGAUGUCAUGUAACAACACAACUGAAUAAUAAUUUAAUAAAAGAUGAGUAUCGGGGUAAAAGUUCCCUAUCUUGCAAUAAUAUAUGAAUCAACAAAAACAAAAUUGAACAUAUAAGGAACAUUUCAGGGAGAAUGGAUAUAAGGAUUUGUACCUAAAAAAAUUAGCUACCUGGACCUUUUCCACCUACAAUAUUUGAAAUACUCUUUUAAUAUUAUUUUAUAAUUUCUACACCUUUUUGUCACAUGUGAUUCUUAUAACAAGAACCUAUUUAGAAGCUUCUAUGUCAUGGAAAAUUACUCUCCCUAUAAACCUAGGAGAGACAAAGUUACUCUAAAGUUUUAUCUUAUAGAUUUUUCAAUCACGUGAACUUCAAAAAACAAAAAUAAAAGUGCGAUUAUCAUAUAACGAUUUCGUCUUUUUUGUGUGUGUAUUUUACCACUUUUCUUUUUCUUCACUUUUAAUGGCUUCUUUAUAAGACCAUGGUUCUUCCCUCCUCAUCUAUCAAUGUCAUAAACUCAUCGAUGAUAUUAUAUGCACUAAACCAAUUUGUAUAAACCAAAAUAUUACUUGUAAUACUAACUAAAUUAGAGAUCAUUUUAAAAAUUAAAAAAAUUUGGUUUCUAAAUUAGUUUAUAUUAUAUUUUAUUAUUGUUAAAUAGUUUUUAAAUUGGUAUCUAAUUAACAACUAAGGUUUUCGCUACCAAAUUGAGAAACUAAAUAAUUGGUAGUUAAAACUUAGUUGCUAAUUAGAUACCAAUUUAGAAACUAUUUAACAAUAAUAAUAAAAUAAUAUAAACUAAUUUAGAAACCAAUUCUUUUUUAGUUUCUAAAAUAGUCUCUAUUUUAGUUUCUAUUGUAACUUUGUCUUUAUUUCAUGAUUUUUGUGUAGUAAUGAUUAUUCCUCCUGGUUGAACUGUUAUGAUAAACUUAAGAUGCUUUAAUUAUAUUAUAAAAAAAUUAUCUUGUCAAAUUUCAUAAUCCUCUUCGUCAUCAUUAAUAAGAAUGUUUACCUCAUCUCCAACUUUAUAUUUUUUUCAAUCCUUAAAACACAUUUUUUAGCUUUACAAUUCAACCAUUGUUUAAUAAUAUGGUAUCACAAAGAUAUCUUCAUCCAUUUUGAUAUAUAUUACUCAACAUAUAUUCAUAUUUAAAAGAGAUAGUUGAAAUUAAAAUCCCAUAUUAAUUAGAAGUAGGAAAAUGUAAACUAAUUUAAAAUUACAAAUAAUUAGUCAUUAUAUUAACUACAUUAAAAAUUAUUUUAUAAAUUAAAAAUUAUUAUUAUCUAAAAUAAUUUUUAUUAUUAAAAAAAUUUAAUAUAAUUAGAUACUAUAUUUUUAAGUAAUUAAUUAUUAUAAAGAAUAUUUAUUUAUUUGGACACACUUGUUUUUUUAGUUUCUGAUUAAGAUAUAAUUUGAAAUCAUUUUUAGUCACUUUUAAUCUAUUUUAUAAACUAAAUUUUUAUUUUCAAUUAUCAUAUCAUUAUAGACUUAAAUUUUUAGUCACAAUUAUCUAAAUUUAAAUAUUGAUUUUGGAACAACUAAAAUUUAUAAAAUUAUAAACCAACACUACAAGAAAAAAUAUCCAAUUUUUAUGAAUAAUUAUUUAAAAAAUAAGAUUCGUAUAUAAGUUUAUUUAUACUCACUAAAAUAUUUGUAGGAAAUAUAAUUUUUAACUAAAAAAUAAUGGCCCAAUUUUCUAUGAAUAAUUAUCUACAAAACGAUGUUCACAUGUAAUUUUAUUGUACCUACUGAAAUAUGUGUAAUUUUCUAUUAACUUAAAAAAGAAUACAAAGAUCUCCUACAUAGACAAACAACCAGAAACAUGAAUAAUAUUACAUAUAUAAUCUAUAGAUAAAGUUGAAAAAAACCUAUGGUCACAAUCCCAACUUUUUCCUUCCCAAUUUUCUAAACAUGACUGCUUCUUCCUCAACUCCAUAUUUUUUUUAUCAUCUCCAUAAAUUUUAAAAUUCUCAAAAUUAUAUUUCAAUAAAAAAAUAAAAAUAAUGCUUUACUCUGUGAAUUAUAUAAUUUAAAAUAAAAAAUUAUAACUUUUAAAUAGGUAAUCCGAAUCUAUUUAACACCUCACAAGACCGAAUUACAUAAUUUAAAAAUUAUUUUAAAAAAUAAAUCUACGGAUUUCAGAAGUAAAAAUUAACACUUUCAAAUUAUGUAUUCUGAAAUUUAUUUAACAAUUCGAAGCUUAUUUAAAAAAAUAAAUCUACCGAAUUACGUAAUUUAAAAAUAAAAAAUUAUUACUUUUAAAUUACAUAAUUUAUCUAAUAUUUAGUUAAAUAAGUUCUAAAUAUAAUUUAGUAUUGUUAGUUGUUUCAUAGGUUAUGGAUGGCAUAAUUCGACUUUUUGAAAAUUUGUAAUUUUUGACUUUCAGAUUAAAUAAUGCAUAUAGAAAACUAUUGUUUUUAUUUUUAUUUUUUACUAAAGAGUAAUUUUGAUAAUUUUAAAAUUUAAGGAGGCUGCUCAAGAAGUGAUGGAGGUGCAGAAGGAAGUCCUAAAACAUUUGUUCCCAAAUUUUCCCAAGUAACCUUCUUUCUAAAAUCUGAAACCUAAAUCCCCAAUCACUGAAUGAAGCCCCAUUAUCGUCGAUGAUAUACGAGAGCUUUGCUUCCAACUGUCUGUGAGAAUGUUAAAAGCUUUGAUAAAUAGCUCCAUCGUCGCGCCUUCAACAGUGGCGAGUUGAAGAAUCAGAGGAUUCAAACGUUGAUUCGGAAGGAGACAUUUAAGGUGGCCAUCAUUGAAAAACUACCGUGACAGGUACUGACAUUCUUGUUUCUUCUAUCAACAAGCAUUUGACGAGGACGGGCAGCGGAAGGUAGAUGAUUGUUUGGAUUAGUUUAUUUUCUUCGAAUAUCUAGAGAAUUGAGUUGAUUGAUGUUGUUAGGUGUUGAAAUGGAAAAAGGAAUCUAUUGAAUGUUGGAAUGGUCUGUAGGGAAUCUCAGCUUCGUGGUGGCCGCUUUAGAUAUACCUAUACAUAAAAAAAUUGUUUCUCUUGCUAGAAAUUUUCAAAUUUUUUAAGGUUGUUCUGAGAUCCCCAUAAAUGGAAGGUAGUAAUGUUUGGUAUUACCUUUGUUAAUUUUGUUGGCAGUAUGAGAACUGAUAGAUAAGAUAUGUUUAGAAUGGAGAGAUUAAUUGAAAUAUAUGAUAUAGUUUAGAGAGAUAAAAUUUCUGCUCGGUGCCACUACUUUUAAAAUUUUUUUCCUUUUUAAUUUUUUCUUGUGAAGUAGUCUAUCAGAUAUCAUACCAGAAGACAUUGAAAUUGACUCUCGAGGUUUGAGUCUUGGUCCUUGUAAGAACAUGAACUUUACAAAGCUAUUUUCUUAAGCACUCUUACAUAUUUUGUGAUGUGGGUGGGAGUAUCACAAAUGUUCCCUUUAUAAAAAAUAUAAAAAGAUAAUUCAAAGCUCAUGAGGCCAAGCAAAAUAUAUGGUGUACGUUGUUGUGACCAAAAGUUGAAACCAAUGUAAUUAAUUCUAGAUGAGUGCAAGCAUAAUCCUGGGAAAGAUUCCGAAUAUGUAGCGACAAUAACUUCUGCUGCAGUAACGGUAGAGUGGUUUGCCCGGUGAAGGAAUGGCCUGAUCGUGAUGAUGGGCAUGGUUCAAGAGGGGUUGUUCAUCGACCAUGUUUGCAGAAGAUGAAGAGAAUCAGAUGUGGGAAUUACUGGAGAGAAUUAUAUGGGAAUAUAUACACAGAUAGAAAGGGAAAGCUUUCAAGAAUUGAACAUUCUAAUUUCAGUUUGAAUGGAACAACGCGCUUGUGAUUUGGGAGUACGUGUCCGCGUAUUCUAUUCACCAACUAUUUAAAACUAAAUAAUACAAAUCUUUUAUAUUUAUUUACAACAUAUAUGUAUAAUGUGUUGUAUCAUUACUCCUCUGAAUAAGUAGAAUGCCUCACAUCUAAAUACUAUUAGAUCAUCUAAGGAGUACAUUUGCUAACGAACUUCUGCAUACUUAGUAGAAUUUAUUUUUAAAAACACCCAAAUAUAAAUGAAUCACAAGAAAGUAUUAUGGAAAACCUAUAACAUUUGACUUUUCACCUAUAUGAAAACACUAAUGAUCCAGACAUGAAAAACUAGGAGUGGAAAAGGAAACAGAGAGAAAGAGAUCGAUAUGAGGAGGAAUGGGUGAAAAUAGAGUUUUUUUUUUUCGAAAUAAAUGUAUAAGAGAUUAUAAAGGGAUAUUAUUUUGUUGGAAUAAUAAUAUAAAAAAUUAAUCAUUAUUAUUAUUGUUAUUAUUAUUAUUAUUUAUUCUAUAUUUUUAUUAUAAAAAACAAACUGUAAAAAGCAAAAAAAAAAAUAUAUAUGUUGUGUCAUAACUGAUGGAUUAUGUUUAUAUAACAAUCAAUCCAUUGGGUCGACGAUAUAGAUUAUGUGUUAUGUUACAUUUCAAUUAGUUACAUAUGUUAAUGACAUAAUUAAUUAUGUUUCGAAUUUAAGGUUUAUUUUUGUUCUCAAUAAUAAAGAAAUUAUACAUACAUAAAUAUAUAUACAUAAAUAUACAUACAUAAAUAUAUAUACAUAAAUAUAUAUACAUAAAUAUAUAUAUAUAUAUAUAUAUAUGAUUCUCCUAAAACCUGUAAUAAUUCCCUCCCUAAUAUUUUUUUUACAAAGUAGGUCGAAUUAAAAGAAAAAUGAGUAACUAUAAAUGAUUUACAAAAAAGGAAAUUACACUAAAGAUAAAAUCAGGACAAUAAAAAUAGAGAUUCAAGAAAUCAAAGAAAAGGAUAAAAAAGGAUGUUAUGCCAAUGAGAUUAAAAAAUGUUCCUUCAGAAUUCCAAAAUAUAAUGAAUAACAUAUCAUCUCCUUUUUCAGAAUUUUAAUAUUUUGACAAUGUUUUGAUAUUUUCAGAAUCUAUAGAAUAACAUAUAAAACAUAUGAAAGCCCUUUAAACAUUUAAUAAAACAAAAUGAUUUAGUAGUUUAGGCAAAGAAAAUGAGCCAAUUUCUUCCUGCACCAUAUCAAUUCUAACAUGCUGCAUCGUAUAUUUUUUUAAAUUUCCAAUGGAUUUGAAAAUCCAAAAUAGUAAAUAUAAUUCAAAACUAAAAAAAAAAACAUUUUGUAAAAAAAAAUCUGAAACACAAAAUUAAAAAUGCAUUCUGGAUAAAAAUUUCUGGAAUAAUGUGUUCCAGAUAUCUAAAUUCAAAAUAUUUCCUUCUGAAAUUAAUUUUUAUAUACACCUCUUUUUAUUUAAGGUUAUUUUCUUUUGAAAGAAAUUUUUUCACACAAGAUACGUACCGAAGAGUCAGCAACAGGAGCUUCUUCCGUGGUGCUGCUUAUCAGCCAUGCUUGCAGUUGCAGAUGAGUGAUGAAGCGAAGAUAUAUAUUUAUAUAUACUUUGGUGUGGACAAUAAAUUAUCAAAGGAAGAGUGAAGGUGGUGAAUUGCACGGGAGUGGUGCGAAUUUAUAUAGAAAGGAAAGGCAUUGAAGAUUUAAUUUUUUAUUCAUUAAUGGAAACAAUCAAUAGCUUAUUGUAUUGACGGCUAAGGAAAAUUUCAUGUCGACUCACUGCCACAACCACGAAGAAACAUUCCCAGGUGCAUUUAUAUUUAUAGCCUCUUAUCCAAAACUGCGACACUUGAACUUUUCGUUACGAGGGCAUAACCUUUUUUUUUUGCUUCUUUUUUAUAUAUAAAACUUUCUUUUACUUAAAUAUUCGUUGGUUUUAAUUCAAGGUUUAUUAAUGCAUUUAUACUCAAAUACUAGUUGAUGUUGAUAUUAAUGUAAUGUUAUGUAUAGUUGUAUUUGCUACUCAUCCCUCAGUGGUUCCUUCUUUUCAUUCCCUGUAUUGAUUAUUUAGUACUCAUUAGAAGUGAUCUUGCAAAAUAUUCUUCAACAAACAACUAACAGUUUUGUAUUAGAAUGAGUAAAAUCUUAAUAAAAACUAUCUUAUUUUUUAUAAUCAUAUUUAUUUAUAAGAUUUAUAAUAAAUUAUCUGUUUAGGUAUUUAUCUUGAGAUAAAUUAUCUAAUUUAUGGUAUAUCUUCUUAUUUGACCUAAACCCUAAAUCCUAAAUGAAGUAAUUCAUUUAGUCUUAAUCAAUACAUUAUGAAAACACUGUUAAACUAUAUUCCUAAUACAGUCAGUAGUUAGGAUUUUACAACAUUAUUCUAAUUAUAAGGAGGUUUCCCUAAAUUAUACUUCAAUAUUAUGCUGAAAUUCAUUAUUUUUGUAUAAUUUAAACCUGUUUAUCAAGUCGGUCUCAACAAAAUAUUUCUCUUUUCUUGAUUGCAGCAUACAACAACUAGAAAAGGAUCUUCAUCAAGUUCUGAUAAAUCCAGAGGCCAAAGUGCUGUAAAAAAUAAUUCAAGAAAAACAUGUAUGAUUUGCAAUGUACGUAGGCUAGUACUUAAUUAAUACCAAAAGACAAAUAACCAAAAUCAAUAUAUUGCUUGAAAAAAACCCAUUAUACAGAAAGAAGAAAUAAAUAAAUGACAAAAGAAACACUUAAUUUAAUUUUGAAAAUAUAAAAUAAGGGAAAUUAUAGAAAGAAAAAUCGAAAAUGUAUCCCUAGAAAUGGAUUGAACAUUUAGUGGUCUGAAAGAAAGUUAGGGUGCCAAUUUUACUCAUUGGAACCUUGAGGUGGCAUUUGACCUUGGGCUUCAAGUGACGAGAUAUGACAUCCCCGAGCUUGAACCGAAUCCUGAAGUAGAGCUUCACAUAGAUGUCGUAAACGCCAUCAUUCGUGUCUUGGUUCAACUCAGUGAUUUGCUCAUUGUCUAGUGUAAGCACUCGGUGCCCUGAGAAAACAGCGCUCAUGGGACUGCUGCUCUUCGUGUACUGCCGGAAGGAGUUCAUGUGCGUUAUGACAUCGUAAUUCGAGAACCUGGCAUCCUCGUACAAUGCUAAUGCCUCUACUUUGUCGUAGUAGAUGCUGAGUUUUUUGUUGGGGUUGCGUGCGGUGAAGUUGAGGACCAUGUUGUAGUGAAGGGUGUUGUUGUUGGUGUUGUAUUCAAAUUGGGUGAGAUCGGCUUCCGUGACAUGGAGCUUGAAGGAGCGGGGUUGAACUACCAGCCAGAAUAUGAGGAUUGCGAGGCCAACGAGGACGAUGAGUGCAACCAGAAUCUUCCACAAUAUUCCGAAGAGGCAGCAACAACAGCUUCUUCCAUGGUGAU